UACGUAGGGGGCAAGCGUUGUCCGGAUUUAUUGGGCGUAAAGAGCGUGUAGGCGGCCAUACAGGUCAGCUGUGAAAACUCGAGGCUCAACCUCGAGACGUCGGUUGAAACCGUAUGGCUAGAGUCCGGAAGAGGAGAGUGGAAUUCCCGGUGUAGCGGUGAAAUGCGCAGAUAUCGGGAAGAACACCUAUGGCGAAGGCAGCUCUCUGGGACGGUACUGACGCUGAGGCGCGAAAGCCAGGGGAGCAAACGGG
rnacentral:rRNA from 1 species